CUUUGGUAGUGCGUUAAGGAUGGAAACGGCAUCCUUUUUUUUGCUGCCGUAUAUGGCAAAAAAAAGAUAUAGUGUACAGCCUGACCAAGA
rnacentral:sRNA from 1 species